rnacentral:rRNA from 1 species
AGUUUGAUCCUGGCUCAGGAUGAACGCUAGCUACAGGCUUAACACAUGCAAGUCGAGGGGCAGCAUUUCAGUUUGCUUGCAAACUGGAGAUGGCGACCGGCGCACGGGUGAGUAACACGUAUCCAACCUGCCGAUAACUCGGGGAUAGCCUUUCGAAAGAAAGAUUAAUACCCGAUGGUAUAAUCAGACCGCAUGGUCUUGUUAUUAAAGAAUUUCGGUUAUCGAUGGGGAUGCGUUCCAUUAGGCAGUUGGUGAGGUAACGGCUCACCAAACCUUCGAUGGAUAGGGGUUCUGAGAGGAAGGUCCCCCACAUUGGAACUGAGACACGGUCCAAAUCCUACGGGAGGCAGCAGUGAGGAAUAUUGGUCAAUGGGCGCAGGCCUGAACCAGCCAAGUAGCGUGAAGGAUGACUGCCCUAUGGGUUGUAAACUUCUUUUAUAUGGGAAUAAAGUUUUCCACGUGUGGAAUUUUGUAUGUACCAUAUGAAUAAGGAUCGGCUAACUCCGUGCCAGCAGCCGCGGUAAUACGGAGGAUCCGAGCGUUAUCCGGAUUUAUUGGGUUUAAAGGGAGCGUAGGUGGACAGUUAAGUCAGUUGUGAAAGUUUGCGGCUCAACCGUAAAAUUGCAGUUGAUACUGGCUGUCUUGAGUACAGUAGAGGUGGGCGGAAUUCGUGGUGUAGCGGUGAAAUGCUUAGAUAUCACGAAGAACUCCGAUUGCGAAGGCAGCUCACUGGACUGCAACUGACACUGAUGCUCGAAAGUGUGGGUAUCAAACAGGAUUAGAUACCCUGGUAGUCCACACAGUAAACGAUGAAUACUCGCUGUUUGCGAUAUACAGUAAGCGGCCAAGCGAAAGCAUUAAGUAUUCCACCUGGGGAGUACGCCGGCAACGGUGAAACUCAAAGGAAUUGACGGGGGCCCGCACAAGCGGAGGAACAUGUGGUUUAAUUCGAUGAUACGCGAGGAACCUUACCCGGGCUUAAAUUGCAUUUGAAUAAUCUGGAAACAGGUUAGCCGCAAGGCAAAUGUGAAGGUGCUGCAUGGUUGUCGUCAGCUCGUGCCGUGAGGUGUCGGCUUAAGUGCCAUAACGAGCGCAACCCUUAUCUUUAGUUACUAACAGGUCAUGCUGAGGACUCUAGAGAGACUGNCGUCGUAAGAUGUGAGGAAGGUGGA